rnacentral:rRNA from 1 species
UACAGAGGGUGCUAGCGUUGUUCGGAAUCAUUGGGCGUAAAGGGCGUGUAGGCGGUUUGUUAAGUCAUGUGUGAAAGCCCCCGGCUCAACCGGGGAACGACGCAUGAAACUGGCAAGCUAGAGUACCGAAGAGGGGGGUGGAAUUCCCGGUGUAGCGGUGAAAUGCGUAGAUAUCGAGAGGAACACCUGCGGCGAAGGCGGGUUGCUGGGCUGACACUGACGCUGAGGCGCGAAAGCUAGGGGAGCGAACGGG